rnacentral:rRNA from 1 species
UACGGAGGGUGCAAGCGUUAUCCGGAUUUACUGGGUUUAAAGGGUGCGUAGGUGGGUAAGUAAGUCAGUGGUGAAAUCUCCGGGCUUAACCCGGAAACUGCCAUUGAUACUAUUUAUCUUGAAUACUUUGGAGGUAAGCGGAAUAUGUCAUGUAGCGGUGAAAUGCUUAGAUAUGACAUAGAACACCAAUUGCGAAGGCAGCUUACUACACAGUAAUUGACACUGAGGCACAAAAGCGUGGGGAUCAAACAGG